rnacentral:rRNA from 1 species
AUCGAACGCUGGCGGCAGGCCUAACACAUGCAAGUCGAACGAGUGGCGGACGGGUGAGUAAUGUCUGGGAACCUGCCUGAUGGAGGGGGAUAACUACUGGAACAGGUAGCUAAUACCGCAUACCAUCCGUUCUGCCCAGAGUGGAUUAGCUAGUUGGUGGGGGAAAGGCUCACCAAGGCGACGAUCCCUAGCUGGUCUGAGAGGAUGACCAGUCACACUGGGACUGAGACACGGUCCAGACUCCUACGGGAGGCAGCAGUGGGGAAUAUUGGGCAAUGGGCGAAAGCCUGAUCCAGCCAUGCCGCGUGAGUGAAGAAGGUCUUCGGAUUGUAAAGCACUGUAAGUUGGGAAGCGGUACCAACAGAAUAAGCACCGGCUAACUUCGUGCCAGCAGCCGCGGUAAUUC